rnacentral:piRNA from 1 species
CAACCUAUCAACAGCAUGUGCAUUUGCUU